rnacentral:rRNA from 1 species
UCGAACGGAACUGUUUUGAAAGAUUUCUUCGGAAUGAAUUUGAUUUAGUUUCGUUGCGGACGGGUGAGUAACGCGUGAGUAACCUGCCUUCAAGAGGGGGAUAACAUUCUGAAAAGAAUGCUAAUACCGCAUGACAUAUCGGAAUCACAUGGUUUUGAUAUCAAAGAUUUUAUCGCUUGAAGAUGGACUCGCGUCCGAUUAGUUAGUUGGUGAGGUAACGGCUCACCAAGACCGCGAUCGGUAGCCGGACUGAGAGGUUGAACGGCCACAUUGGGACUGAGACACGGCCCAGACUCCUACGGGAGGCAGCAGUGGGGGAUAUUGCGCAAUGGGGGCAACCCUGACGCAGCUACGCCGCGUGAAGGAUGAAGGUUUUCGGAUUGUAAACUUCUUUUAUUAAGGACGAAAAAUGACGGUACUUAAUGAAUAAGCUCCGGCUAACUACGUGCCAGCAGCCGCGGUAAUACGUAGGGAGCAAGCGUUGUCCGGAUUUACUGGGUGUAAAGGGUGCGUAGGCGGCUUUGCAAGUCAGAUGUGAAAUCUAUGGGCUCAACCCAUAAACUGCAUUUGGAACUGUAGAGCUUGAGUGAAGUAGAGGCAGGCGGAAUUCCCCGUGUAGCGGUGAAAUGCGUAGAGAUGGGGAGGAACACCAGUGGCGAAGGCGGCCUGCUGGGCUUUAACUGACGCUGAGGCACGAAAGCGUGGGUAGCAAACAGGAUUAGAUACCCUGGUAGUCCACGCUGUAAACGAUGAUUACUAGGUGUGGGGGGUCUGACCCCUUCCGUGCCGGAGUUAACACAAUAAG